ensembl:lncRNA
CCAGCAUGAGCAAACCCAACAGCAUUAAGUGAAUGCACUGACAGAUCACAGCUAAUGAGAAAGUAAAGACUCACCAGAUUAUGCAUGUCAUACUAUAGGCCAGUUCAAGGUCCACAGGGAAUAGUUGAAAGGAAAAAAAGGGAAAAACAAACACCAGUGAUCACAGGCAUAUGUAAAGGGUGAAAAAUAGAUAAACAAGCAAACGAAGGCAAAAGAAGUGAGUUUGAAAAAAAUGCCAGUGAGGAGUGGUAACAUAGGUGCACACAACUUUCCUAAACUGGAAACCAAGGUGCAUCAUGUUUACCAGAUGACAGUCAACAGAAUCUGGGGAAAACACAAAGAGAACGCAAGUGGUGAGCACAUGUCCUGGAGAGUUACAGUCCAGUUGACAAAGUGACAAAAGACAGAAGGUUUGUUUGUUAUGCGGUGAUGGAUUUAAAUUUUGUCUCACUGUGCUAUGUUCAAAUGUAGUUAUUUGUAAAAAUAAAAAAUAAAAAAUAAAAAUUGUUUGCAGUAAAUGUUAAUACCAGUAUGUUCAGAAUUGAUUUUGAUCAUAUCGGCUGUUUAGGAAAGGUAGCUACAGUUACUGUGCUAUGGUUACAUCAUAGUCAAUAGUUCAUAGCCAUAAAAUCCAUUGGAUCAUGGCAGAUUUAUUCAGAGAAAUGGC